rnacentral:rRNA from 1 species
GACGAACGCUGGCGGCGUGCUUAACACAUGCAAGUCGAACGAUGAACCCGGAGCUUGCUCUGGGGGAUUAGUGGCGAACGGGUGAGUAACACGUGAGUAACCUGCCCUGGACUCUGGGAUAAGCGUUGGAAACGACGUCUAAUACCGGAUAGGACCUUGGAUCGCAUGAUCUGGGGUGGAAAGUUUUUUCGGUCUGGGAUGGACUCGCGGCCUAUCAGCUUGUUGGUGAGGUAAUGGCUCACCAAGGCGUCGACGGGUAGCCGGCCUGAGAGGGUGACCGGCCACACUGGGACUGAGACACGGCCCACACUCCUCCGGGAGGCAGCAGUAGGGAAUAUUGCACACUGGGCGAAAGCCUGAUGCAGCAACGCCGCGUGCGGGAUGACGGCCUUCGGGUUGUAAACCGCUUUUAGUAGGGAAGAAGGGCUUCGGCUUGACGGUACCUGCAGAAAAAGGACCGGCUAACUACGUG